rnacentral:rRNA from 1 species
UUAACGCAAUACAAUACAACUUUCAGCAACGGAUCUCUUGGCUCUCGCAUCGAUGAAGAACGCAGCGAAAUGCGAUAAGUAAUGUGAAUUGCAGAAUUCAGUGAAUCAUCGAAUCUUUGAACGCACCUUGCGCCCCUUGGCUAUUCCGAGGGGCAUGCCUGUUUGAGUAUCAUGAACACCUCAACUCUCAUGGUUUGCUGUGAAGAGCUUGGACUUUGGGGGUUUUGCUGGCCUGAGGUCGGCUCCUCUCAAAUGAAUCAGCCUGCCAGUGUUUGGUGGCAUCAUGGGUGUGAUAACUAUCUACGCUUGUGGUUGUCUGCCAGGUGACCUUCAGCGAUGGAGGUCCGCUGGAGCUCACAAAUGUCUUCCCUGAGCGAAGACAGCUUUUUGAACGUUCGAUCUCAAAUCAGGUAGGAAUACCCGCUGAACUUAAGCAUAUCAAUAAGCGGAGGAAAAGAAACUAACAAGGAUUCCCCUAGUAACUGCGAGUGAAGCGGGAAGAGCUCAAAUUUAAAAUCCACUCGCAGUU